rnacentral:tRNA from 3 species
GGAGGAGUCGGAUAGUGGUUUAUUCCAACGGCUUGGAAAGCCGUGCUUCGCAAGAGGCUCGUGGGUUCGAAUCCCACCUCCUCCGCCA